rnacentral:rRNA from 1 species
CGAAAGCCUGACGGAGCAAUACCGCGUGAGGGAGGAAGGCUCUUGGGUUGUAAACCUCUUUUCUCAGGGAAGAACAAAAUGACGGUACCUGAGGAAUAAGCAUCGGCUAACUCCGUGCCAGCAGCCGCGGUAAUACGGAGGAUGCAAGCGUUAUCCGGAAUGAUUGGGCGUAAAGAGUCCGUAGGUGGCAUUGAAAGUCUGCUGUUAAAGAGUCUAGCUCAACUAGAUAAGAGCAGUGGAAACUACAAAGCUAGAGUUUGGUCGGGGCAGAAGGAAUUCCUGGUGUAGCGGUGAAAUGCGUAGAGAUCAGGAAGAACACCGGUGGCGAAGGCGUUCUGCUAGGCCGAGACUGACACUGAGG